rnacentral:rRNA from 1 species
UAUAGUUUAUUUGAUAAUUACAAAUGGAUAACUUUAGGAAAUCUAGAGCUAAUACAUGCUGCAAAGUCCGAUGCUAGUCUGAGGACCGUAUUUAUUAGAUAUUAACCUUUCGGGCCACGCCCGUUUAGAUGAAUCAUAAUAACUUCUCUGACCCCUUCUUGGGGUUAAUCAUUCAAGUUUCUGCCCAAUCAGCUUUAGAUGGUAGUGUAUUGGACUACCAUGGCGAUCACUGGUAACGGAGAAUUAGGGUUCGAUUCCGGAGAGGGAGCCUGAGAAACGGCUACCACU